GCCUGGCUGGCUCAGUUGGUUAAGCGUCCGACUUCAGCUCAGGUCAUGAUCUCGUGGUUCGUGAGUUCAAGUCCUACGUCGGGUU
rnacentral:tRNA from 1 species